UUUUGAAUUGAGUCCCACCACACUUUUUUUCACAGUACAAUCAUCACAUUCUCCAUCAGCCCAGAUAUAAAGCAAAAACUAAUUCUGUUAAACAUGAAACACAUGUUCUGUCAAGACACUUUACAGAAUAAUGGGUGGGAAAUGUCCAGCAAUGAUGACUUCUAGUGAAUUGUCAUGAACCUCCAUAUUACUAAAAUAUUAUUUUGCUGGAUAGUCAAAUAUUCUUGAUAUUCACAGGCAGGCUUGGAUGAUUGAGUUUUUGUUUUUUGGUUGACUUCCAGAAAAGUCAGGACUGUCAGAGGUGAUUCCUCCAGGAAACAACCGUGGGAGCUGACUUUCCACAGGCUGAGGGACCUGCUGGUCCUGGGAGUCUGUCUGGCAGCCACUGUGUGACCGUCAGCCGUGUCUCAGAGUGCCGCAGCAGGUACAGACGGACGGACAGAGUGCUGAUUGUCACCAGUGUUAUCCGAGUCCAGCGGUGGCGGUUGGCAGGAUACGUUUCACCCAGCGUGAAUGCGAAGUGACAGUCCGUUAUUGUGAUAAAAUCGAGCAGGAGCCGAUCUCAUUCAGCGGGGUUCCCUAGGAGAGAGACACAGGAACACAGUGAAGUGAGCCAAGCUGGUAAUGCAAGCUGAAUCUAAACUACCUGCUUGUUUUUGUCUGAGAUGAUAAGCUGCUGUCGAAGCAGGAGAGCUCAGCACUCUGACCACUCACUUUCACAAAACACGGGAGACUGAACACAAAGAGAGCGACUGUGAGUGGGAUGUGGGAGCAUAUGGCACAAGACAGGUGCUUAAAGGGAAAAAAGCACAGGGAGGCCUAGAAUGUUCUACGCCUUGUGAUGAAACUGCAUAUGGAUGGCUGUGGCAUUGCCAUGGAGAUGUGGGUCAUAGUACUGAUGUGGGAGCGUAGCAUGGAUUUGUUGCUGGCAGCAGAGUGCUGACUGUACAGAAUUAGAGCCGGCAGUAAACUCCAGCUGAAUCUAGGUCAGUGGGAUUCUCAAGACCAGAGGCAGAACUGAGGUAGCUGUGGAGAGAAGGGGAGUGAGGCAGUGAGGAAGAGGGAAUGCCAUGACGGUGUGGGGGAACACCAGCCAAAGCAUGAAUACAAUGCUGAAGUUAAAUAUGCCUAAAUGACAAACAAAAAAUUGGUGCUGAUACAGAAUGGCCUCAUAAUACUGGUCAAUAGCAAAAAAUAUAUCUGGGGUUUCUCAGCUAAGGUCAUGUUGAUGAGCUGAAACCAAAUAUCACAUUGGUUUUGCUCCAUCAGGUCAACUUUCUGAACUAUAGAUGCAACAUGAGCAUCAAAAUGCAGGACUUGUUCUCACAUCUAGAGAAUCUGGAUCAAUGAUGAACAGGAGGAGAGACGCCAUCAGGACAGAAAAGAGACAGAGACAUAAUGUUCAAUUUACAUGUACUUACCCUUAUCAGUGUUUAUUAUACAAUUUACAGAAA